rnacentral:rRNA from 1 species
UACGUAGGGUGCGAGCGUUGUUCGGAAUUACUGGGCGUAAAGCGCACGUAGGCGGAUAUUUAAGUCAGGGGUGAAAUCCCGCAGCUCAACUGCGGAACUGCCUUUGAUACUGGGUAUCUCGAGUAUGGAAGAGGUGAGUGGAAUUCCGAGUGUAGAGGUGAAAUUCGUAGAUAUUCGGAGGAACACCAGUGGCGAAGGCGGCUCACUGGUCCAUUACUGACGCUGAGGUGCGAAAGCGUGGGGAGCAAACAGG